ACUCAAAUGAAUUGACGGGGACCCGCACAAGCGGUGGAGCAUGUGGUUUAAUUCGACGCAACGCGAAGAACCUUACCUGGGCUUGAACUGCUAGUGGUAGUCUGCUGGAAACAGUGGGCGACCCGCAAGGGAGCUAGUAGAGGUGCUGCAUGGUUGUCGUCAGCUCGUGUCGUGAGAUGUUGGGUUAAGUCCCGCAACGAGCGCAACCCCUAUCUUAUGUUGCUAAUUCCGCAAGGAAAGCACUCUUAAGAAACUGCCUUCGAUAAGAAGGAGGAAGGCGGGGACGACGUCAAAUCCUCAUGGCCCUUAUGUCCAGGGCAACACACGUGCUACAAUGGCCGGUACAAAGGGAAGCAAUACCGCAAGGUGGAGCUAAACUCAGAAAGCCGGCCCCAGUUCAGAUCGUGGGCUGCAACUCGCCCACGUGAAGUUGGAAUCGCUAGUAAUCGCGAAUCAGCAGGUCGCGGUGAAUACGUUCCCGGGUCUUGUACACACCGCCCGU
rnacentral:rRNA from 1 species